rnacentral:rRNA from 1 species
UACGUAGGGUGCAGGCGUUAAUCGGAAUUACUGGGCGUAAAGCGUGCGCAGGCGGUUUGCUAAGAGAGAUGUGAAAUCCCUCGGCUUAACCGGGGAACUGCGUCUGAUACUGGAUGGCUUGAGUUCGGGAGAGGGAUGCGGAAUUCCAGGUGUAGCGGUGAAAUGCGUAGAUAUCUGGAGGAACACCGGUGGCGAAGGCGGCAUCCUGGACCGAUACUGACGCUGAGGAGCGAAAGCCAGGGGAGCAAACGGG